rnacentral:rRNA from 1 species
CCUACGGGAGGCAGCAGUGGGGAAUUUUGGACAAUGGGCGCAAGCCUGAUCCAGCAAUGCCGCGUGAGUGAAGAAGGCCUUCGGGUUGUAAAGCUCUUUUGUCAGGGAAGAAACGGUGGAGGCUAAUAUCCUUUGCUAAUGACGGUACCUGAAGAAUAAGCACCGGCUAACUACGUGCCAGCAGCCGCGGUAAUACGUAGGGUGCAAGCGUUAAUCGGAAUUACUGGGCGUAAAGCGUGCGCAGGCGGUUUUGUAAGUUUGUCGUGAAAUCCCCGGGCUCAACCUGGGAAUGGCGAUGAAGACUGCAAGGCUAGAAUCUGGCAGAGGGGGGUAGAAUUCCACGUGUAGCAGUGAAAUGCGUAGAGAUGUGGAGGAACACCGAUGGCGAAGGCAGCCCCCUGGGUCAAGAUUGACGCUCAUGCACGAAAGCGUGGGGAGCAAACAGGAUUAGAUACCCUGGCAGUCCACGCCCUAAACGAUGUCUACUAGUUGUCGGGUUUUAAUUAACUUGGUAACGCAGCUAACGCGUGAAGUAGACCGCCUGGGGAGUACGGUCGCAAGAUUAAAACUCAAAUGAAUUGACCGG